rnacentral:rRNA from 1 species
AUUGAACGCUGGCGGCAUGCCUUGCACAUGCAAGUCGAACGGUAACGGGCCUUCGGGUGCCGACGAGUGGCGAACGGGUGAGUAAUACAUCGGAACGUGCCCGAUCGUGGGGGAUAGCGAGGCGAAAGCUUUGCUAAUACCGCAUACGAUCUACGGAUGAAAGCAGGGGACCGCAAGGCCUUGCGCGGACGGAGCGGCCGAUGGCAGAUUAGGUAGUUGGUGGGAUAAAAGCUUACCAAGCCGACGAUCUGUAGCUGGUCUGAGAGGAUGAUCAGCCACACUGGGACUGAGACACGGCCCAGACUCCUACGGGAGGCAGCAGUGGGGAAUUUUGGACAAUGGGCGCAAGCCUGAUCCAGCCAUGCCGCGUGCAGGAUGAAGGCCUUCGGGUUGUAAACUGCUUUUGUACGGAACGAAAAGCCUUCUUUUAAUACAGGAGGGUCAUGACGGUACCGGAAGAAUAAGCACCGGCUAACUACGUG